ensembl:snoRNA SNORD58 Small nucleolar RNA SNORD58
UUGCUGUGAUGACAAAUCUUAGGAUUAUUUUAGGUUAAUCUUUGGAUUAACCAUGAAAUAAAACAUGUUCUGAGCAAC